GAUGAACGCUGUCUACAGGCUUAACACAUGCAAGUCGAGGGGAAACGACGGGGAAGCUUGCUUCCCCGGGCGUCGACCGGCGCACGGGUGAGUAACGCGUAUCCAACCUGCCUCUGACUGAGGGAUAACCCGUCGAAAGUCGGCCUAAUACCUCAUGGCAUCGUCUGCGGGCAUCCAACGACGAUUAAAGAUUUCAUCGGUCAGGGAUGGGGAUGCGUCUGAUUAGCUUGUUGGCGGGGUAACGGCCCACCAAGGCUACGAUCAGUAGGGGUUCUGAGAGGAAGGUCCCCCACAUUGGAACUGAGACACGGUCCAAACGCCUACGGGAGGCAGCAGUGAGGAAUAUUGGUCAAUGGGCGGGAGCCUGAACCAGCCAAGUAGCGUGCAGGAGGACGGCCCUAUGGGUUGUAAACUGCUUUUAUGCGGGGAGAAAGUGAGGGACGUGUCCUUCAUUGCAGGUACCGCAUGAAUAAGGACCGGCUAAUUCCGUG
rnacentral:rRNA from 1 species